GACGAACGCUGGCGGCGUGCUUAACACAUGCAAGUCGAACGCUGAACCACUUUCGGGUGGGGAUGAGUGGCGAACGGGUGAGUAACACGUGGGUAAUCUGCCCUGCACUCUGGGAUAAGCCUUGGAAACGGGGUCUAAUACCGGAUAUCACACUCUUGGGCAUCCAGGGGUGUUGAAAGUUCUGGCGGUGCAGGAUGAACCCGCGGCCUAUCAGCUUGUUGGUGGGGUAAUGGCCUACCAAGGCGACGACGGGUAGCCGGCCUGAGAGGGUGACCGG
rnacentral:rRNA from 1 species